ACCGAAAAAGGAAACAACCCGAAAGGGUUGGACGCGAAGCAACUGACCUAAGUCCGGAUUUUAAGGAUACGGUAGCAGGGCUGCCGGAC
rnacentral:ncRNA from 1 species